rnacentral:rRNA from 1 species
GGUUAAGCGACUAAGCGUACACGGUGGAUGCCCUGGCAGUCAGAGGCGAUGAAGGACGUGCUAAUCUGCGAUAAGCGUCGGUAAGGUGAUAUGAACCGUUAUAACCGGCGAUUUCCGAAUGGGGAAACCCAGUGUGAUUCGUCACACUAUCAUUAACUGAAUCCAUAGGUUAAUGAGGCGAACCGGGGGAACUGAAACAUCUAAGUACCCCGAGGAAAAGAAAUCAACCGAGAUUCCCCCAGUAGCGGCGAGCGAACGGGGAGCAGCCCAGAGCCUGAAUCAGUGUGUGUGUUAGUGGAAGCGUCUGGAAAGGCGCGCGAUACAGGGUGACAGCCCCGUACACAAAAAUGCACAUACUGUGAGCUCGAUGAGUAGGGCGGGACACGUGGUAUCCUGUCUGAAUAUGGGGGGACCAUCCUCCAAGGCUAAAUACUCCUGACUGACCGAUAGUGAACCAGUACCGUGAGGGAAAGGCGAAAAGAACCCCGGCGAGGGGAGUGAAAAAGAACCUGAAACCGUGUACGUACAAGCAGUGGGAGCACAGAGCAAUCUGUGUGACUGCGUACCUUUUGUAUAAUGGGUCAGCGACUUAUAUUCUGUAGCAAGGUUAACCGAAUAGGGGAGCCGAAGGGAAACCGAGUCUUAACUGGGCGUUAAGUUGCAGGGUAUAGACCCGAAACCCGGUGAUCUAGCCAUGGGCAGGUUGAAGGUUGGGUAACACUAACUGGAGGACCGAACCGACUAAUGUUGAAAAAUUAGCGGAUGACUUGUGGCUGGGGGUGAAAGGCCAAUCAAACCGGGAGAUAGCUGGUUCUCCCCGAAAGCUAUUUAGGUAGCGCCUCGUGAAUUCAUCUCCGGGGGUAGAGCACUGUUUCGGCAAGGGGGUCAUCCCGACUUACCAACCCGAUGCAAACUGCGAAUACCGGAGAAUGUUAUCACGGGAGACACACGGCGGGUGCUAACGUCCGUCGUGAAGAGGGAAACAACCCAGACCGCCAGCUAAGGUCCCAAAGUCAUGGUUAAGUGGGAAACGAUGUGGGAAGGCCCAGACAGCCAGGAUGUUGGCUUAGAAGCAGCCAUCAUUUAAAGAAAGCGUAAUAGCUCACUGGUCGAGUCGGCCUGCGCGGAAGAUGUAACGGGGCUAAACCAUGCACCGAAGCUGCGGCAGCGACGCUUAUGCGUUGUUGGGUAGGGGAGCGUUCUGUAAGCCUGCGAAGGUGUGCUGUGAGGCAUGCUGGAGGUAUCAGAAGUGCGAAUGCUGACAUAAGUAACGAUAAAGCGGGUGAAAAGCCCGCUCGCCGGAAGACCAAGGGUUCCUGUCCAACGUUAAUCGGGGCAGGGUGAGUCGACCCCUAAGGCGAGGCCGAAAGGCGUAGUCGAUGGGAAACAGGUUAAUAUUCCUGUACUUGGUGUUACUGCGAAGGGGGGACGGAGAAGGCUAUGUUGGCCGGGCGACGGUUGUCCCGGUUUAAGCGUGUAGGCUGGUUUUCCAGGCAAAUCCGGAAAAUCAAGGCUGAGGCGUGAUGACGAGGCACUACGGUGCUGAAGCAACAAAUGCCCUGCUUCCAGGAAAAGCCUCUAAGCAUCAGGUAACAUCAAAUCGUACCCCAAACCGACACAGGUGGUCAGGUAGAGAAUACCAAGGCGCUUGAGAGAACUCGGGUGAAGGAACUAGGCAAAAUGGUGCCGUAACUUCGGGAGAAGGCACGCUGAUAUGUAGGUGAAGUCCCUCGCGGAUGGAGCUGAAAUCAGUCGAAGAUACCAGCUGGCUGCAACUGUUUAUUAAAAACACAGCACUGUGCAAACACGAAAGUGGACGUAUACGGUGUGACGCCUGCCCGGUGCCGGAAGGUUAAUUGAUGGGGUUAGCGCAAGCGAAGCUCUUGAUCGAAGCCCCGGUAAACGGCGGCCGUAACUAUAACGGUCCUAAGGUAGCGAAAUUCCUUGUCGGGUAAGUUCCGACCUGCACGAAUGGCGUAAUGAUGGCCAGGCUGUCUCCACCCGAGACUCAGUGAAAUUGAACUCGCUGUGAAGAUGCAGUGUACCCGCGGCAAGACGGAAAGACCCCGUGAACCUUUACUAUAGCUUGACACUGAACAUUGAGCCUUGAUGUGUAGGAUAGGUGGGAGGCUUUGAAGUGUGGACGCCAGUCUGCAUGGAGCCGACCUUGAAAUACCACCCUUUAAUGUUUGAUGUUCUAACGUUGACCCGUAAUCCGGGUUGCGGACAGUGUCUGGUGGGUAGUUUGACUGGGGCGGUCUCCUCCUAAAGAGUAACGGAGGAGCACGAAGGUUGGCUAAUCCUGGUCGGACAUCAGGAGGUUAGUGCAAUGGCAUAAGCCAGCUUGACUGCGAGCGUGACGGCGCGAGCAGGUGCGAAAGCAGGUCAUAGUGAUCCGGUGGUUCUGAAUGGAAGGGCCAUCGCUCAACGGAUAAAAGGUACUCCGGGGAUAACAGGCUGAUACCGCCCAAGAGUUCAUAUCGACGGCGGUGUUUGGCACCUCGAUGUCGGCUCAUCACAUCCUGGGGCUGAAGUAGGUCCCAAGGGUAUGGCUGUUCGCCAUUUAAAGUGGUACGCGAGCUGGGUUUAGAACGUCGUGAGACAGUUCGGUCCCUAUCUGCCGUGGGCGCUGGAGAACUGAGGGGGGCUGCUCCUAGUACGAGAGGACCGGAGUGGACGCAUCACUGGUGUUCGGGUUGUCAUGCCAAUGGCACUGCCCGGUAGCUAAAUGCGGAAGAGAUAAGUGCUGAAAGCAUCUAAGCACGAAACUUGCCCCGAGAUGAGUUCUCCCUGACUCCUUGAGAGUCCUGAAGGAACGUUGAAGACGACGACGUUGAUAGGCCGGGUGUGUAAGCGCAGCGAUGCGUUGAGCUAACCGGUACUAAUGAACCGUGAGGCUUAACCUU